AGCUCCAAUAGCGUAUAUUAAAGUUGUUGCAGUUAAAAAGCUCGUAGUUGGAUUUCGGGAUGGGCCAGUUGGUCCGCCGCAAGGUGUGUUACUGACUGGUCUGUUCUUCUUCGCAAAGACUGCGUGUGCUCUUCGUUGAGUGUGCGUAGGAUUUACGACGUUUACUUUGAAAAAAUUAGAGUGUUCAAAGCAGGCUUUUCAAGCCCGGAUACAUGAGCAUGGAAUAAUGGAAUAGGACCGCGGUUCUAUUUUGUUGGUUUCUACGACCGCAGUAAUGAUUAAGAGGGACAAUUGGGGGCGUCCGUAUUUCGUUGUCAGAGGUGAAAUUCUUGGAUUUACGAAAGACGAACAACUGCGAAAGCAUUCGCCAAGAGUGUUUUCAUUAAUCAAGAACGAAAGU
rnacentral:rRNA from 1 species